rnacentral:piRNA from 1 species
UGCUAAGUCGUUGGGAUUUUUCCCAUGAUG